GACGAACGCUGGCGGCGUGCUUAACACAUGCAAGUCGAGCGGAGAUAUAUUGAAGAUUUAUCGGAUAUAUAUCUUAGCGGCGGACGGGUGAGUAACGCGUGGGCAAUCUGCCUCAUACAGGGGGAUAACACUGGGAAACUAGUGCUAAUACCGCAUAAAAUAAUGAAGUGGCAUCACUUUAUUAUCAAAGGAGCAAUCCGGUGUGAGAUGAGCCCGCGUCCGAUUAGCUAGUUGGUGGGGUAACGGCCUACCAAGGCGACGAUCAGUAGCCGGCCUGAGAGGGUGGACGGCCACACUGGGACUGAGACACGGCCCAGACUCCUACGGGAGGCAGCAGUCGAGAAUAGUCUACAAUGGACGAAAGUCUGAUAGUGCAAUUCCGCGUGGAUGAAGAAGCAUUUCGGUGUGUAAAAUCCUUUUCUUUGUGAGCAAAGAUUUGAAGGUGAAUAAUUUUAAAUUAAGAUAUUAGCAAAGGAAUAAGCCUCGGCUAA
rnacentral:rRNA from 1 species